rnacentral:lncRNA from 1 species
GGGCAGGGCCGGAGCGCCGAGCCAACGUGAUGGCGUCAGGGGCCGGGGCGCUGCUUCCUGUUGUCAGUGGCCGAGAGACCGCAUCGUCGGCUCGGAGGCUGAGGGGCUGCCGCAGCCGGGAGCCCCCCUCGCCUCGCUCCUCGCUCCGCUUGGUGUCAUGUGAUUCUCUGAGGGAGCAGCUGCGUGAGUGGAGAUGCUUUCAGUGGUGGAGAAUGGACUGGACCCCCAGGCUGCCAUCCCGGUCAUCAAGAAGAAGCUGGUGGGAUCCGUGAAAGCCUUGCAAAAGCAGUACGUGUCCCUGGACAUGGUGGUCACUAGUGAAGACGGAGAUGCCAACACCAUGUGCAGCGCCCUGGAGGCCGUAUUUAUCCAUGGCCUGCACACCAAGCACAUCCGAGCUGAGGCCGGAGGAAAAAGGAAGAAAAGUGCCCACCAGAAGCCUCUGCCCCAGCCUGUCUUCUGGCCCCUCCUGAAAGCUGUCACCCCCAAACACAUCAUCUCAGAGUUGGAGCACCUGACGUUUGUCAACAUGGAUGUGGGCCGCUGCCGGGCAUGGCUGCGGCUGGCCCUGAACAAUGGCCUGAUGGAGUGCUACCUGAAGCUGCUGCUGCAGGAGCAGGCCCGCUUGCAACUACAGCGGAAGGAAUCUCUGGAUUCCAUUUCCCAUUCUUCAGGCUCUGAAGACAUCGAAGUCCAUCACUCGGGCCAUAAGAUACGGAGGAACCAGAAGCCGACUGCCUCCUCCCUCAGCCUGGACACGGCCAGUUCAUCCCAGCUGUCCUGCAGCCUAAACUCUGAUAGCUGCUUACUCCAAGAGAAUGGCUCCAAGAGUCCAGACCAUUGCGAGGAGCCCAUGUCCUAUGACUCAGACCUGGGCACAGCAAAUGCUGAGGACUCAGACCAGUCUCUGCAAGAAAAAACAAGAGCUGGAUCUCAGAGGAUGACUUCUACCGGCCUUCCCGGGAGCAACCCCUGAAGAGUGCUUCAGACCACCCAAUAGCUUCUUACAGGGGGACUCCAGAGUCAAGGCCUGGUCUCCACAGGCAUUUUUCUCAAGAACCAAGAAAAAACUGCUCCCUGGGGGCGUUAGACCAAGCGUGUGUACCUUCCCCAGGAAGAAGGCAAGCCCAGGCAGCCCCAUCCCAGGGGCAUAAGAGUUUCCAGGUGGUACACCGGAGGCAGAUGGGACUGUCCAACCCAUUCCAGGGUCUCAUGAAGCUGGGCACCGUGGAGCGGCAGGGGGCAAUGGGCAUCUGGAAGGAGCUCUUCUGCGAGCUCUCCCCACUGGAGUUCCGCCUCUACCUGAGCAACGAGGAGCACACCUGUGUGGAGAACUGCUCCCUGCUUCGCUGUGAGUCUGUGGGGCCAGCCCACAGUGACGGGCGCUUUGAGCUGGUCUUCUCUGGCAAGAAGCUGGCCCUGCGCGCCUCCUCCCAGGACGAAGCUGAGGACUGGCUGGACCUGGUGCGGGAGGCCCUGCAGAAGGUCCGGCCUCAGCAGGAGGAUGAGUGGGUGAACGUGCAGUACUCAGACCAGCCUGAGGAACCCCCCGAGGCGCCCCAGGGCUGCCUCUCUCCCUCAGACCUGCUCUCGGAGCCCGCGGCCCUCCAGGGCACACAGUCUGACUGGUCGUCCGCCCAGGUUCCAGAGCUAGAUGCCAUCAAGGAGUCCCUGCUGUACUUGUACAUGGACAGGACCUGGAUGCCCUAUAUAUUUUCUCUGCCCUUGGAGGCUCUGAAAUGUUUCCGCAUCAGGAACAAUGAGAAGAUGCUGAGUGACAGCCACGGCGUGGAGACCAUCCGGGACAUCCUGCCAGACACCAGCCUUGGGGGCCCAUCCUUCUUCAAAAUCAUCACGGCCAAGGCUGUCCUGAAGCUGCAGGCCGGAAACGCCGAGGAAGCCGCCCUGUGGAGGGAUCUGGUCCGCAAAGUCCUGGCAUCCUACUUGGAGACAGCCGAGGAGGCGGUGACCCUGGGCGGGAGCCUGGAUGAAAACUGUCAGGAGGUGCUGAAAUUUGCCACCCGGGAGAAUGGCUUCCUGCUGCAGUACCUGGUGGCCAUCCCCAUGGAGAAAGGCCUUGACUCCCAAGGCUGCUUCUGCGCAGGUGCCGACUUGCUCUGCUGCCACCCCCAGCCUGCCAGCCUCACUCCGCCUCCUGCUGGUUCCUGAUUUAGGCUCCCCACCCUUCUGCCUCCCCGCAAAUGCCCCCAUCCUUCCCCUAGGGAUGAGGCCACAGAUCAGGCUUGCCCUACAGCUUCUGCUCCUCCCCAGCCCCGGCUGGGGCCAGUGCCCUGCUCAUAGGCAGUGGGCCCUGCUCACCCGUCCCUCUCCUGGCACCUCCCACUGAUGGGCCACAGGCUGGCUAGUCACUGCGCUGCUCAGGGAGUCCCAGCCUGCUUCAUUUUCUUCUUGCUCUACUGUCCUGUUCUUUCAGAGCAGGGGCAUGGUUUCCUUCCAAAUAUUUCUGCUGCUUUUCUAAGUGUACACCCUUUUUUUUUAAUUACAAAAAUGGGCUCGUGCUA